CACGUAGGGCGCAAGCGUUGUCCGGAAUUAUUGGGCGUAAAGAGCUCGUAGGCGGUCUGUUACGUCUGCUGUGAAAACCCGGGGCUUAACCCUGGGCUUGCAGUGGAUACGGGCAGACUAGAGGCAGGUAGGGGAGAAUGGAAUUCCCGGUGUAGCGGUGAAAUGCGUAGAUAUCUGGAGGAACACCGGUGGCGAAGGCGGCAUCCUGGACCGACACUGACGCUGAGGAGCGAAAGCCAGGGGAGCAAACGGG
rnacentral:rRNA from 1 species